ACUCAAAUGAAUAGACGGGGGCCCGCACAAGCGGUGGAGCAUGUGGUUCAAUUCGAAGCAACGCGCAGAACCUUACCAACCUUUGACAUGUCCCGUAUGGGCUCCAGAGAUGGAGUUCUUCAGUUCGGCUGGCGGGAACACAGGUGCUGCAUGGCUGUCGUCAGCUCGUGUCGUGAGAUGUUGGGUUAAGUCCCGCAACGAGCGCAACCCUCGGCCUUAGUUGCCAUCAUUUAGUUGGGCACUCUAAGGCGACUGCCGGUGAUAAGCCGGAGGAAGGUGGGGAUGACGUCAAGUCCUCAUGGCCCUUACAGGUUGGGCUACACACGUGCUACAAUGGCGGUGACAGAGGGAUGCAAUGGAGCAAUCCUGCGCAAAUCUCAAAAAGCCGUCUCAGUUCGGAUUGCACUCUGCAACUCGAGUGCAUGAAGUUGGAAUCGCUAGUAAUCGCAGAUCAGCACGCUGCGGUGAAUACGUUCCCGGGCCUUGCACACACCGCCCGU
rnacentral:rRNA from 1 species